CAUGACGGUACCGUAAGAAUAAGCACCGGCUAACUACGUGCCAGCAGCCGCGGUAAUACGUANGGUGCGAGCGUUAAUCGGAAUUACUGGGCGUAAAGCGUGCGCAGGCGGUUAUGUAAGACAGAUGUGAAAUCCCCGGGCUCAACCUGGGAACUGCAUUAGUGACUGCAUAGCUGGAGUACGGCAGAGGGGGAUGGAAUUCCGCGUGUAGCAGUGAAAUGCGUAGAUAUGCGGAGGAACACCGAUGGCGAAGGCAAUCCCCUGGGCCUGUACUGACGCUCAUGCACGAAAGCGUGGGGAGCAAACAGGAUUAGAUACCCUGGUAGUCCACGCCCU
rnacentral:rRNA from 1 species